UGGACCUCAGAUCAGGCAAGAUCACCCGCUGAGUUUAAGCAUAUCACUAAGCGGAGGAAAAGAAACUAACGAGGAUUUCCCUAGUAACGGCGAGCGAACCGGAAGUAGCCCAGCUUGAAAAUCU
rnacentral:rRNA from 1 species